UGGAAGACAAAGAUUCUCAGGGAGAAAUGGAACUUACUGGAAGAAGAAAGGAAGCAGGAGAGGAUGAGCAGAUGAAGAUGAAGAAGAAGACAACCCAUUUUUUUGUUCAUCAUCUCCGAGACCAUUGCUUCAGACCUGAGAUAUUCUGCAUGGAUUUGCGGAGUUUUUGCGAUACCAUGGACUGCAAUGCAGAAAUCACGUAAAGCACUGCCCUUUUUUAUGAUGAUUAAUGGUUGUGAAGCACUAUGGAAGAUAGUUUAUGAAUCUCCAGAAUCAAGGUGAGAUCUUGACCCAGAAAUGAAAAAAAUAUACAUAAAUAUAUGCAUAUAGAGUUAUAAAUCUGAAGAUGGGAUGAUGAGGAGGGGAAGAAGACAAGAACAUAGGCAUGAGGUCUCCAGGUGAAAUUAUAAUAAUGCCAGUCGGUAGUAUCUUUUGAUAAAACAAUGCUGUUAAAAUGUGCAACUUGCAGUCCCUAGUUUUGACUCAUAAUUUGCAGGACUAAAGAAAGAUAAUUUCCUUUAUAUCGGUUUCGAGAAAAGCAUCUUUAAUAUGUUUCGUUCCAAUGUUUCACGAGACGGGUGUGGGUUUCCUUAGCAAUAUAUCGCAUGUUUGAAAACUCAACGGGUUUUCUAACCCGAAAGUUACUUGAGUACUGCAUCAAGACCUUUGCUUGUGUUGAUGUAAUGCGUACUGUGUGACAGUGAGGAUUUCAUUGAAAUUCACAGCAUAAUCCUUUCUAGGUUACAAAUUUAAACAACUUGGUCUGGCAUUUAAGCCUGCUAGUGGGACCGUCUUCUGCUAACGUGUAAAGUUAAAUAUUGAAUCGGAAUUCAAAGCUGUGAUCGGAGUUGUUUAUCAACGCCAACAUUGGAGCAAAUCGAGCGAUAUGGGGGGUUUUGAUUUAAAAAAGCUCAUCUCGCAGUAGAUUUCUUCCUGCAUCUGCUUGACAAGUUUUGAGUAGUUUUUCAAGUUGUUUAAAUGAUGGCAUUAAUGGCUGAAUGAUAACUUCACGAAUGGACAUUCUCAUGAAUCCAGAGUUAAAGUUCAUCGUUUAUCUUGAGCCUGCAGGGUAGCAAUUUGGUAUGUUAGCGCAAUUAUAAGCUGUGAUGACUUUUAUGUUCGAAUGAGAAUGAACAGGUACUUGUUUAAUUGGAUCGAGUUUCACAUGAUACUUUCAAUUAACAGCUUUCUCUCCAUUUUCUCUCGCUCGACAUCUCUUGUAUGUUCUUGGCAGUGUUGGCUGUUAUUACCGAAGUGCUAAUCAAUCUGAUCAGCUCUGCUAUUCAGCUUAAUGCUAAAAGGUGCUACGUUUAUUUGCCUAAGACUUUUCCAUUAUACGGGCCAGAGCAAAUUGGAAAUGGGACUACUUUGUGCAACUCAUACAAUCUGUUUCGUGUGCCUUCUCGAUAUGGGCAGAAUUAUUGCAGCCAUGUUCAAUAUUCUCGAUAUUUGCUUGUUGCUCUAAGUCACUUCCAUGUUCCAAGCGAUAGCUCGGAAUCAUAUCCUAACUGAUGGUCAUUGGUCCAUCUACGCCUCAUCUUGACAGGGAAGGCUUACCGGCUUUCUGAAUACAGAUGGAAACCAUGGCUUAUGGACCUCAUCGAAUUAAAAUGGAAAAACAGGUGGAAGGGAGAACAAACGGAAGAUGGUGACAGUAGCAGUAAAUUGUGGGAGCUAUAAGAAAUAGAUUGCUGAUCAGAAUUAGUUCUUCAGAAAUUUUUGGGUUGCGCCCGACAGACUGAUACAUCUUACAUGUCAUCAGCUGAAACUACGUCGACAAGUAUUAUCCUUACAAUGGUGUUUCUUUUCGUUUGCAAGUCCCUUUGAUGCUGUACUGAUAUACCUCGUACAGAAUUCGCAUAUAUAACUUGUCGAAUUGCAGUUCACAUAA